CAGCAGCCGCGGGAAUACGGAGGGUCCGAGCGUUAAUCGGAAUUACUGGGCGUAAAGCGUGCGCAGGCGGUUUGUUAAGCGAGAUGUGAAAGCCCUGGGCUCAACCUAGGAAUAGCAUUUCGAACUGGCGAACUAGAGUUUUGUAGAGGGGGGUAGAAUUCCAGGUGUAGCGGUGAAAUGCGUAGAGAUCUGGAGGAAUACCGGUGGCGAAGGCGGCCCCCUGGACAAAGACUGACGCUCAUGCACGAAAGCGUGGGGAGCAAACAGGAUUAGAUACCCGAGUAGUCCCUGUCUCUUAUAC
rnacentral:rRNA from 1 species